CUAGGAACAGUAGAAGAGGAACUUCCAGAAAAUCUUUUGCGAAAAGAGGAGAAAUCUCAAGCCAAACUCUUGCAUAUUCUACGGUAAAUUUUUUUUCGCCAUGUAAGAUGCCCAUCAGAAACUAAGUAGCUGCUCCCAAAGUACUGGAAUUGGACAUGUAGAUUCCCCUCAAUUACCAAUAUAUUUGUUUAGAACCUGGGUAUCUAGUGAUGUUGCCCUUGAAAUGUCAUUAUACUUUUGUUAACAAAAUUAACACAUUUCGCUAUAACCUAAUUAAAUUUCAGUAUAGACUCUAACAAUUAUUAUGUAAGCCAUUAAGUGUUGAUUAGGCUAGUGGACUCACCUCAGGUUUAACUUUUACCUUUUCUCACCUACUUCCUUUACAGACAGGGAAAUGGCAGAGCUGCUCAAAUUGCCAUUAUAAAAACUGCAGAGAUAAGAGAUAUAAACAAAUAAGAGAAUUAAUAUAUUUAGCAGCUUAGCUUAAGAAGAAGUUUGUCACUUUGUUAAAUACACAAGACACGAUCAGGUUUAUGUUCAGAAUCAGAAACUGUGCUAUUACCAUAGGAAUUACCAUAUUAGAAGAGAACAGUCACAAUACUCAGUUUAAUAAUGUAUCUGCUUUCACUUUUACAGUGAUGUUGUAGCAUACAAUGUGAAAUUUUCUCACUUCCGACGCAGUGCCUCCAGUUUCUCUUCUGUGCUGCCUUGGAACUCUGUAUCUUGGAAGAGGAAGAGAUAACCGCUCAUAGCAGUUGUGGUGAUGGCAAAAGAAAAGUCUUGAACAUAGUGGGGCUCCCUCAGAACUGGAGACACAUGACAUGGCGUGUCUCUCACAUGUGAAGAAAAUCUAGUCUUUGAACAAAGACUCAUUAUGGCUGUUCAGCAACUUUUGUGAAGAGUAACGCAUUAGACAUUUGAGAGCAUAGAACACCUACAUGGAGAGUGGUGUGAGCAUUUGUUCUCUUUGAAAAAAAGAUGAAGAUGGACAAUAAAGCAGAUGAUAUGUUGAAAUGGUCAAUAUCUUCAAUGGAAGCAUUACAGAGUGAUGCAUUUUAAAUUGCAUCAAAUUGCAAGAAAGGAUUGACAUUGGUAACAUUUGGGGUGGGUGCUUGAAUAAUUCUACUAGGUUGUCAAUGAUUGUUUUUUUCCAGACAAAUGUGGGGAUCCCUUAUUUAGACUUCAGUGCUGCUGAAGAACAUCCUUCCAUUGUUUACCUUUUGACUGAUAGAAAUUGGUCUUUCAGGCCACUGUAUACUUACAUGUAAGAUAAAUUUAGCAAAUCAGUGUGCAACAGAAAUUGAAAGAGAACUAUUUAGUUACAACAAUGACUUAUGGAACUCACUCACCUAAAGCUAUUAGGUUCAAAGGAAGACUAGAUAACUCUGUCUGGAUAAUUGGUAUUCAUCCUUUGCUUCAAUUACCAAUAUUAGUCCAAGAGAACAGGAAAAUGUGAUGAAUUGACUGGUAUCAAAGCUGAAUAU